GCCCCCCCGGGCCGCCCGCAGCCCCUGCCGGGGGGGGAGCCGGCCGCCUGCGCCCAGCGGGACGCGCCGGAGGACGCCGAGCGGACGGGGCGACGCCCGCCUGCAGCCCUCGCCCGGGGCUGUGCCCGCUGCCCUGAGCGCCUGCCCGCCAAGGACUUCGCCUUCGCGUGCGCCCCGCCGCCGGUGCUGUGGAGCCUGCCGGGAGGGGCGGUGGGCAGGAAGAAGAGGCUUUUCAGCUCGGAGCUGCUGCUGCUCUUCAUCCCCUCGCUGCUGCUCAGCCACGUGCUGACGCUGGGGCUGGGGAUCUACAUUGGGAAGCGGCUGGCAGCCUCCUCAGCAAACCCGCUGUGAGGAGCUGAGAUCGGCGAGGGACAGGCGGCUCUGCCGCUCC
rnacentral:lncRNA from 1 species